rnacentral:misc_RNA from 1 species
GAUGAAGAACGUAGCGAAAUGCGAUACGUAAUGUGAAUUGCAGAAUUCAGUGAAUCAUCGAAUCUUUGAACGCAUAUUGCGCUCUCUGGUAUUCCGGAGAGCAUGCUUGUUUGAGUAUCAGUAAACACCUCAACUUCCAUAUCUUUUUUGAAAUGGGAGUUGGACUUGAGUGAUCCCAACGCUUUUCCUCACCGAAAAGUGGCGGGUUACUUAAAAUGCAGGUGCAGCUGGACUUUUCUCUGAGCUAUAAGCAUAUCUAUUUAGUCUGCCUAAAAAACAGAUUAUUACCUUUGCUGCAGCUAACAUAAAGGAGAUUAGUUCUUGUGCUGACUGAUGCAGGAUUCACAAAGACAGGCUUCGGCCGACUUUGUAAACUCGAUCUCAAAUCAAGUAAGACUACCCGCUGAACUUAAGCAUAUCAAUAAGCGGAGGA